CCUACGGGUGGCAGCAGUGAGGAAUAUUGGUCAAUGGGCGGGAGCCUGAACCAGCCAAGUCGCGUGAGGGAAGACGGUCCUAUGGAUUGUAAACCUCUUUAGGCGGGGAGCAAUGCCGGGCACGCGUGCCCGGAGGGAGAGUACCCGCAGAAUAAGCAUCGGCUAACUCCGUGCCAGCAGCCGCGGUAAUACGGAGGAUGCGAGCGUUAUCCGGAUUUAUUGGGUUUAAAGGGUGCGUAGGCGGAUUUUUAAGUCAGCGGUAAAAUGUCCGGGCUCAACCCGGGCCGGCCGUUGAUACUGGCAGUCUUGAGUACAGUUGAGGUAGGCGGAAUUCGUGGUGUAGCGGUGAAAUGCUUAGAUAUCACGAAGAACUCCGAUUGCGAAGGCAGCUUACUAAACUGCCACUGACAUUGAUGCUCGAAAGUGUGGGUAUCAAACAGGAUUAGAUACCCGGGUAGUC
rnacentral:rRNA from 1 species